UACAGAGGGGGCAAGCGUUGUUCGGAAUUACUGGGCGUAAAGGGCGCGUAGGCGGCCUGCUAAGUCGAACGUGAAAUCCCUGGGCUCAACCCAGGAACUGCGUCCGAUACUGGUUGGCUUGAAUCCGGGAGAGGGAUGUGGAAUUCCAGGUGUAGCGGUGAAAUGCGUAGAUAUCUGGAGGAACACCGAUGGCGAAGGCAGGUCACUGGGCCGCAACUGACGCUGAGGAGCGAAAGCAUGGGGAGCGAACCGG
rnacentral:rRNA from 1 species